AACGAACGCUGGCGGCAGGCUUAACACAUGCAAGUCGAACGCACUCUUCGGAGUGAGUGGCAGGCGGGUGAGUAACGCGUGGGAAUCUACCCAGUCUUUCGGAAUAGCUCCUGGAAACGGGAAUUAAUACCGGAUACGCCCUUUUGGGGAAAGAUUUAUCGGGAUUGGAUGAGCCCGCGUAAGAUUAGCUAGUUGGUGGGGUAAUGGCCUACCAAGGCGACGAUCUUUAGCUGGUCUGAGAGGAUGAUCAGCCACACUGGGACUGAGACACGGCCCAGACUCCUACGGGAGGCAGCAGUGGGGAAUAUUGGACAAUGGGCGCAAGCCUGAUCCAGCCAUGCCGCGUGAGUGAUGAAGGCCUUAGGGUUGUAAAGCUCUUUCACCGGUGAAGAUAAUGACGGUAACCGGAGAAGAAGCCCCGGCUAGCUUCGUGCCAGCCGCCGCCGUAA
rnacentral:rRNA from 1 species